ACGGGAGGCAGCAGUGGGGGAUCUUGCACAAUGGGGGAAACCCUGAUGCAGCGACGCCGCGUGAGUGAAGAAGUAUUUCGGUAUGUAAAGCUCUAUCAGCAGGAAAGGUAAUGACGGUAUCUGACUAAGAAGCACCGGCUAAAUACGUGCCAGCAGCCGCGGUAAUACGUAUGGUGCAAGCGUUAUCCGGAUUUACUAGGUGUAAAGGGAGCGCAGACGGCAUGGCAAGCCAGAUGUGAAAGGCAGGGGCUCAACUCCUGGACUGCAUUUGGAACAGUCAAGCUAGAGUAUCGGAGAGGUAAGUGGAAUUCCUAGUGUAGCGGUGAAAUGCGUAGAUAUUAGGAGGAACACCAGUGGCGAAGGCGGCUUACUGGACGAUAACUGACGUUGAGGCUCGAAAGCGUGGGGAGCAAACAGGAUUAGAUACCCUGGUA
rnacentral:rRNA from 1 species